rnacentral:lncRNA from 1 species
UCCAUUAUAGUUCUUGGCCUUGCCGGGGGAGUUCUUGGCCUCAGUUUUUGUUACUAUUUGCUUUGACAAAUGAUUUGUCAAUCUCUUAUGGUCCUCGUUGACUCAUUAUGUUAUAAACACCAAUUCAGCUGAAGUUGCACAUACGCCUAGUCGAGUCAGCAGCCAGGUCAAUAUUCCUCAAGUAACAGAAAGCGUGAGACACAGCACAAGA